UGAAUGACUUGAUGUGUACACGAGUCAGUGUGAUAAAAGUUUCUGCCACAACGUUAGAUACAUUCUGGUUGGUGUCUUCCGAGAUAAACUACGACAUACUGGAUGAUCAUAUCAUUUCACACAAUUAUAAAUAUUACAUGGAAUAUGAAUGGAUCGUGUUUGUUUUUUUAACAAGACCCGAGCUGACGACAAAACGGCACCACACAACUCUUGAGUCCAUCUGUGCUGACUGAGGUAUGCGGAUGUUGUGUGUUUCCUGCCAGCUGGACUCAGCAUGUGGACCAUGAUGCUGCAAGAGGACGGGGACAGAACUACACAGGUCUCUCUCCAAACCCUGAGUCACCUGACAUCCCUCUAGUGGUGUGGGGGCUGUGCUUUGGCAAAGUGGGUGGGGUUAUAUCCUGCCUGUUUGGCCACAGUGUCUCCUGACCCCUCCUGUCUCAGCCUCCAGUAUUUAUGUUGCAGUAGUUCAUGUGUCGGGGGACUAGGGUCAGUCUGUUAUAUCUGGAGUAUUUCUCCUGUCUUAUCCAGUGUUCUGUGUUAAUUUAAGUAUGCUCUCUCUAAUUCUCUCUUUCUUUCUUUCUCUCUCUCGGAGGACCUGAGCCCUAGGACCAAGCCUCAGGACUACCUGGCAUGAUGACUCCUUGCUGUCCCCAGUCCACCUGGCCGUGCUGCUGCUCCAGUUUCAACUGUUCUGCCUGCGGCUAUGGAACCCUGACCUGUUCACCGGACGUGCUACCUGUCCCAGACCUGCUGUUUUUAACUCUCUGGAGACAGCAGGAGCGGUAGAGAUACUCUCAAUGAUCGGCUAUGAAAAGCCAACUGACACUUACUCCUGAGGUGCUGACUUGUUGCACCCUCGACAACUACUGUGAUUAUUAUUAUUUGACCUUGCUGGUCAUUUAUGAACAUCUUGGCCAUGUUCUGUUAUAAUCUCCACCCGGCACAGCCAGAAGAGGACUGGCCACCCCUCAUAGACUGGUUCCUCUCUAGGUUUCUUCCUAGGUUUUGGCCUUUCUAGGGAUUUUUUUUCUAGCCACCGUGCUUCUACACCUGCAUUGCUUGCUGUUUGGGGUUUUAGGCUGGGUUUCUGUACAUCACUUUGAGAUAUCAGCUGAUGUAAGAAGGGCUAUAUAAAUACAUUUGAUUUGAUUUGAUUCUGGAAUUGUGAUGUGCAUGUUAGGAUUUUUCAUCGUGAAUGCUGCUCUGGAGGCAGCUCUGCAGAGUGGUCAUUAGCUGGCACAGCCACAAAGUCAUAACAUCUGAUUCUAAACCUAAAUCUAACCUUAACCGAACUGCUAACCCUAAACUUUAAGAAUAAUAAGCACAUUUUUGCUGUCAUGAAUUUUCACAAUUUUGCCAGCUAUCUAAGGGGAAAUCGCUCAGUUCUGCCUCCAGGACAAGACUGAUGACAAUACAUGUAAACAUGUGAAGUUCAGUUAAAAAGUGUAUAUUUCAUGGAAAUAAUUUGAACUGCAAGACAACAUUAUGUAUAGAUUAGUGCUUAUGAAGCAAUAUAUGAAUGCAACGUUAUUCUACAUGUGAAACUGUAUUGUAUUUCUGAAUUACCUCAUCAUCGUUGUUGCUUACAGCUGAUUUGAUUGUACAGUUCAAACAAAGUGGUUCAAAUGAAUAAAAUCUGGUUUAGAGAA